rnacentral:rRNA from 1 species
AAGCGCUUGCAACCAGACUUGCGCGCGACGGUUCCCCCUUCCUUCUGGUUGGGCUACUCCGUCGUGUCCAGGCCAACAUCGGUUCUGGGGGUCGGUUAAAGGCUCGGGGAAUGUAGCUUCUUUCGGGGAGUGUUAUAGCCCUCGGUGCAAUGCCGCCUACCUGGACCGAGGACCGCGCUUCGGCUAGGAUGCUGGCGUAAUGGUUGUAAGCGA